GCCCCGUGAUGAGACCAAGGCGAAUGCAAGCCAACUGAAUGAGUGUGCUGGGGUCUCCCUCUCUUUGAUUGGCUGGUAAUCUUGGCAGUGCAGCGGAGAUUUGCUGCUCUGCUGUAAGGGCCCGCCUACAGUGACUUAGCUCCGCCCACAGUGUUCCAUCUGGAAGGAAACGGGGAAAACACCGGGAGGAUGCUAACAGUGUGUGUGUGUGUGUGUCCAAGGGAGGGAGUCACCCCAGCUCACCUCAGUAACUCAGUUGGCCAUGAGCUAUUUCUACUUGUCUGAGGGCU